rnacentral:rRNA from 1 species
AGCGAACGCUGGCGGCAGGCCUAACACAUGCAAGUCGAGCGGCCGUAGCAAUACGGCAGCGGCAGACGGGAGAGUAACACGUGGGAACACGCCCUUCGGUUCGGGAUAACCCAGGGACACUUGGGCUAAUACCGGAUACGCCCUUACGGGGAAAGAUUUAUUGCCGAAGGAACGGCCCGCGUCCGAUUAGCUAGUUGGUGAGGUAACGGCUCACCAAGGCGACGAUCGGUAGCUGGUCUGAGAGGAUGACCAGCCUCACUGGGACUGAGACACGGCCCAGACUCCUACGGGAGGCAGCAGUGGGGAAUAUUGGACAAUGGGCGCAAGCCUGAUCCAGCCAUGCCGCGUGGGUGAUGAAGGCCCUAGGGUUGUAAAGCCCUUUCAGCGGGGAAGACAAUGACGGUACCCGCAGAAGAAGCCCCGGCUAACUUCGUGCCAGCCGCCGCUGUAA